UGCCUACGGGGCGCAGCAGUGAGGAAUAUUGGUCAAUGGGCGGAAGCCUGAACCAGCCAAGUCGCGUGAGGGAAGAAGGCCCUGCGGGUCGCAGACCUCUUUGGACGGGGAGCAAGGCCGCCGACGUGUCGGCGGAAGGAGAGUACCCGUAGAACAAGCAUCGGCUAACUCCGUGCCAGCAGCCGCGGUAAUACGUAGGGAGCAAGCGUUGUCCGGAAUUACUGGGCGUAAAGGGCGCGUAGGUGGGCGCUUAAGUCAGGUGUGAAAACUCCGGGCUCAACCUGGAGACUGCACUUGAAACUGGG
rnacentral:rRNA from 1 species